rnacentral:rRNA from 1 species
UACGUAGGGGGCAAGCGUUGUCCGGAUUUAUUGGGCGUAAAGAGCGUGUAGGCGGCCAGGUAGGUCUGCUGUGAAAACUCGAGGCUUAACCUCGAGCUGUCGGCGGAAACCAUCUGGCUAGAGUCCGGAAGAGGAGAAUGGAAUUCCCGGUGUAGCGGUGAAAUACGUAGAGAUUGGGAAGAACACCAGUGGCGAAGGCGGCUAUCUGGACGGUUUCUGACGCUAAGACGCGAAAGCGUGGGGAGCAAACAGG